GCCAAUCAUGUUUCAGAGGGGCGGGAAUCACCACGCAGUCCCUCUGUAGCUAAGGUGGGUGGUUCUUCAGGAGAGAGUAGCGAUUGAGCGCGAUUUGGGGAGAUGUGUUUAUAGCUCUGAAUUCCUUUCAAUUCUCAGUCAAGAAAUUGGAGAGAUUCCUUACGGCUUUUCUUGCGGUACCUAUAAAGACAAUUACCAACUGGAAGAGAGACGCGCAUUCGGAAGCUCAUCACUUUUGUCGACUCACCUGCACAAUCGGUGAACAGGAGAGGCACUUGCCAUGGAUCAGGAGAAAUACUUACCGGAGCUGAUGGCCGAAAAAGAUACCCUGGACUCCUCGUUUGUUCAUGCGAUGCGUCUGCUUGCCGAAGAAAUCACAAAGUAUGAGGGGGAUGAGUUGAGAAAAGACGGUGACGUGAAGAAAUACCUCGAUGUCAUCAGUAACAAAAACAUCAAGCUCUUGGAAAGAGUACUAAUCCCAGUUCAACAGUACCCAAAGUUUAAUUUUGUUGGGAAGUUGUUGGGACCACGGGGCAAUUCCAUGAAAAGAUUACAAGAGGAAACCGGAGCAAAGAUGUCCAUCCUCGGAAAAGGCUCCAUGAGGGACAAAGUAAAGGAAGAAGAGUUGAGGAAAAGUGGAGAGGCCAAGUAUGCCCAUUUGAGUAACGAUCUCCAUGUUUUAAUUGAAGUCUUCGCUCCACCUGGAGAGGCCUAUUCCCGCAUGAGCCAUGCCUUGGAGGAGAUUAAGAAAUUCCUAGUUCCAGACUACAAUGAUGAGAUCAGACAGGAGCAGCUGAGGGAGCUCUCCUACUUGAACGGAGGAUCAGAGGACACCAACAGAGGGAGGACAGUAAGGGGGCGGGGCUUACGGCUGGCUUCCACGACAACCACGCGGGGACGGGGAGGCAGAGGUGCAGUUGCACCCAGAGGGACAGCAGGUACACGGAGUGCAAUGCCACAAGCCACAUUAGCGAGAGGAGUACCCACUCCCAGGGCAAGGGGAACACCAGGGAACCCCGGAUACAGACCCCCACUGUUGCCCGUAACACACGAAUCAUAUGACGACUACGGCUAUGAUGAUGGAUAUGACGGUGAAUAUGAUGACCAGAGUUAUGAUGCCUAUGAGGAGAACUACAGCAAUCAGUCAAAGAGCAUUUCUGAAUAUUACGAAUAUGGCCAUGGAACCAAUGACGAAGCCUACAACAAUUACGAAGAGGAGUGGACGACAACCCGUCCAACACUCAAAGCCCCAGCAGCAAGGAUCUCACGUGUGGGCUACAGAGAACAUCCCUAUGGUGUAACAUAUUGUGUGAACUGUUCGAUAAGGGGAGUGUGAGAGGCUCUGAACUCUCAGUAUGGAGCACAUAGUAAACUCUUCCCAAGGGACUGUGGAGUCCCUUAACCUACCAGAAGAGCUGGGCACCAUCAUAAAUUAGCUUGGUGCAAAUGAGCAUGAUAUGCGGAUGGUUCUGUGGAUGUGUAGCAUCUUCGCUGUCCAAGUCAACCUGGCCAGGUGAAUGCAUAGACUAUAUAAUGCAUGUAGUCUGUUUGAUCACUCUGAUUAAGUUAGUCAUAUCAUACAUACUAGCAUGUUGUGUUUCCAUACAACCUUCAAUGAAUGACAUGCUUAUAUAUUAGAUUUGAUUGGAUUUGCAUUUGCAUUUGAUACUUUUGUUAAUGCUGAAAAGUUUAGCAGAACUUAUACUCUUCCCUUGAAGCAAAAGAAGAGGUUUUCCAGUUCACCUUGGUUUCACCAUAGUAAUCAUACUGUAGUUGCACCAGUAUCACCUCUCCCACCUUUUCCAUCCCAGAGAGCAGAUCAUUACUACAGACAUGAUGUGUUACCUAGGGGAAAGCACAGCCCCACUGCCCCAAAGCCCCUCACCCACAGGCUGACUGCACCCAUGAUGUCAAACCCACAUUGACAGAGAGUAGCCAGGGGUUGUAGAGAGAUACGGUCAAAGGGAAUAUGGUAGUGACUGCAGGCGUACCAGCCAUGAUGCUCGACAGAUACCUUUAAAGCUAACAGUGCGGAAGCACACUAUCUUGUUGAAACAAACUAAGGAUAAUAGUGUCAUCUGUCAUGUAUUGUAUAUACUGUUGACUCAGAAUCCAUUCAAAAAGAAGAUGAGUCUUCAUUUGUAUGUCCUAUUUAUACAUUUCAGUUAUUUUCUCUGUUUCUAAAGCAUUCUGUAGAAUUUUAUUUUCUCCACAAAAGCCCCCCAAAAUGUAUUACAGGUGGUGAUACAGGCAUGCAGAACUAGAUGUUUACUUAACUGUAGUUCGACCUCAGAUGUCUGACGUUUCUUUCUUUCUAUUUCCCCUCACUUCAGGCAGUGAAGUGUACAUGCUGUUUGUGUAUUAAGUCUUUCUUUCUAUUUCCCCCCACUUCAGGCAGUGAAGUGUACAUGCUGUUUGUGUAUUACGUCUUUCUUUCUAUUUCCCCCCACUUCAGGCAGUGAAGUGUACAUGCUGUUUGUGUAUUACGUCUUUCUUUCUAUU